UGGAGAAGGGGGACACGCGCGCGUGGAGUGUCCCCAGGUCCCCCAGCUCCUUCUCCUUGGCCGUCUCCAGCCAGCAACACUGAAAAGAGGAAGCAGUAGAGAGAAAAGGAAAAGGCAGACUAUCACAACUGAUUCACCAAUUCCACCUGAAAAGCACAGUCCCCUACACAGGAACCUUCAAGUUGCGAACUUUCAAA